GACGAACGCUGGCGGCGUGCUUAACACAUGCAAGUCGAGCGGAGCGGCGAACGGGUGAGUAACGCGGGAGUAACUGCCACCCUCUCUGGGAUAAGAGGUGGAAACGGGUGCUAAUAAGGGAAAGUGGGGGAUGACGCGCGUCCUAUCAGCAUGUGGGUGGGGUAGUGGACUACCAAGGCGACGGGGGGUAGCCGGCCUGGGAGGGCGACCGGCCACAUUGUGCUGCGGUACGGCCCAAACUCCUACGGGAGGCAGCAGUGGGGAAUAUUGCACACUAGCGGAGACUCUGAUGCAGCACUCCGCGUGCGUAAUGCCCGCUUUCGGGUUGUAAACCGCUUUCUGCCAUGACGCGGUAGUCGCAGAAGAAGCACCGGCUAACUACGUGCCCGCAGCCGCGGUAAUAC
rnacentral:rRNA from 1 species